CUGGGAGACGAGCCCCAGCCCCAGGAGUCCCAGGUGUUCCCAUUCUGUGAUCAGCACAGAACACACACACCUCACCAUGGAGUUUGUGCUGGGCUGGGUGUUCCUGGUUGCUCUUUUAAAAGGUGUCCAGUGUGACGUGCAGCUGGUGGAGUCUGGGGGAGACCUGGUGAAGCCUGGGGGGUCCCUGAGACUCACCAGUGUAGCCUCUGGAUUCACCUUCAGUAGUUCCAGCAUGAACUGGGUCCGUCAGGCUCCAGGAAAUGGGCUGCAGUGGGUCGCGUAUAUUAGUAGUAGUGGAGGUAGCACAAGCUACACAGACUCCGUGAAGGGCCAAUUCACCAUCUCCAGAGACAACGCCAAGAACACGCUGUAUCUGCAGAUUAACAACCGGAAGUCAGAGGACAUGGCCACAUAUUCCUGUGCAAGAAACAGGGUGAGGGGACCUCGCUGGGAGCUCACACGCAAACCUCCCUGCAGGAGGGGAUCAGCACCACCAGGGGGCGCACACUAUGCACAAUUCUGCUUUGUGUUCCCAGGAGCAGGUGAAGAUGGAGGUUACAGGGCCAGAGGGGACCACUGUUCCAGUUCAAACAAGCACAAGGAAAGUAAAAAUGAGGGAAUUCUUCCUCCCUCUGCAUCAGAUUCUAUUCAGAACCUUAAUGGAAUGGGUGAUGCCCAGACAGGAACCAUGGAAGGAAAUGCCAGUCUCUUCUGGAAACACAUCACAGACAUCCACAGAAACAGUGGUGAAUCUGGGCACCCAUGA